rnacentral:rRNA from 1 species
UACGGAGGGUGCAAGCAUUAAUCGGAUUUAUUGGGCGUAAAGGGCGUGUAGGCGGGUUAUUAAGUCGAAUGUGAAAUACCAAAGCUCAACUUUGGGGCUGCAUUUGAAACUAAUAAUCUGGAGGAUUGGCGGAGAAAAUGGAAUUCCACGUGUAGCGGUGAAAUGCGUAGAUAUGUGGAAGAACACCGGUGGCGAAAGCGGUUUUCUAGCUUAUUCCUGACGCUGAGGCGCGAGAGCAAGGGGAGCAAACAGG